rnacentral:lncRNA from 1 species
CGACAAAUCAAUAAACAAGUUGCUUUGAUAGAUAUUGUAAUGACAAAGAUGUGUUCAAAAAUACCGGGCAGCUUCUUUUCAUUUAACAGAUUAAGUAUGUGCUAGCAUUUCCGUGAAGUUGUUGUUGUUAUUGCUGUACUUUUUUUUCAAAGAACAUUUACUGCACGCAUGAAACACUCCGAACAUAUCACAGUGAAAAUAAUUAACCGAUUGAUUUUAACCUGAUGUAUUAAAUUGUUAUGUGGCAAUCUCAUCAUUGAAGAGCAGCAAAUCUCGGAGUUAAUGAGGUUUGUCAUCUCUUUUGAAUGGAUAGAGAGACAUGAAAACACUUUUAUUUUCACGACAGUUCCCAGCGAAUCUCGGUUAAUUAAAAAAGAAGAACCUUUUAACUGUUAGUAUAAAUCUGGAAAAGUAUAAAUUCGAUCAUCGUAGCUCAACAAAAUCAAACAAUAUGGCAGACA